GCCCGUAUAGAUCAGUUGAUAGAGCAUGAGACUUUUAAUCUCGGGGUCGUGGGUUCGAACCCCACGUUGAGCG
rfam:Lutzomyia longipalpis Contig14969, whole genome shotgun sequence.